rnacentral:rRNA from 1 species
AGCAGCUUGCUGCUUCGCUGACGAGUGGCGGACGGGUGAGUAAUGUCUGGGAAACUGCCUGAUGGAGGGGGAUAACUACUGGAAACGGUGGCUAAUACCGCAUAACGUCGCAAGACCAAAGAGGGGGACCUUCGGGCCUCUUGCCAUCAGAUGUGCCCAGAUGGGAUUAGCUUGUUGGUGAGGUAACGGCUCACCAAGGCGACGAUCCCUAGCUGGUCUGAGAGGAUGACCAGCCACACUGGAACUGAGACACGGUCCAGACUCCUACGGGAGGCAGCAGUGGGGAAUAUUGCACAAUGGGCGCAAGCCUGAUGCAGCCAUGCCGCGUGUAUGAAGAAGGCCUUCGGGUUGUAAAGUACUUUCAGCGGGGAGGAAGGUGUUGUGGUUAAUAACCGCAGCAAUUGACGUUACCCGCAGAAGAAGCACCGGCUAACUCCGUGCCAGCAGCCGCGGUAAUACGGAGGGUGCAAGCGUUAAUCGGAAUUACUGGGCGUAAAGCGCACGCAGGCGGUCUGUCAAGUCGGAUGUGAAAUCCCCGGGCUCAACCUGGGAACUGCAUUCGAAACUGGCAGGCUUGAGUCUUGUAGAGGGGGGUAGAAUUCCAGGUGUAGCGGUGAAAUGC